rnacentral:misc_RNA from 1 species
GAAACCAUCUCUCAAGCGCUGCUGUCUUCUGUGGAUAGGGACUGUUUGAGUGGAUGGGGGGGACACGUCUAUGUUGUUACGCCUACUGAAGUAAAAGAGCGAAUCUUGAAGGGACGCAUGGAUUAAUCUUUCUCCUUAUGUUUGAAAGAUGACUUGUUUCAUGAUUACUCCCAAUUAGGCUGCAGCCCAGGGCAAUGGAGUUCACGAGUGAAAUGCAAAAGACUUUCAUGCUGGGCUGAAACUUGUAAUGUGCUCUAUAUAAUUUGACAUGGAAUUGACUUUAUCUGGAACUCUCUACAUGAGAAAAUGUUUAUGAAACGAAAUGUGCCUUUUGGUUCCAAAAU